AACGAACGCUGGCGGCAGGCUUAACACAUGCAAGUCGAGCGCCCCGCAAGGGGAGCGGCAGACGGGUGAGUAACGCGUGGGAAUCUACCCAUCCCUACGGAACAACUCCGGGAAACUGGAGCUAAUACCGUAUACGCCCUUCGGGGGAAAGAUUUAUCGGGGAUGGAUGAGCCCGCGUUGGAUUAGCUAGUUGGUGGGGUAAUGGCCUACCAAGGCGACGAUCCAUAGCUGAUCUUAGAGGAUGAUCAGCCACACUGGGACUGAGACACGGCCCAGACUCCUACGGGAGGCAGCAGUGGGGAAUCUUGGACAAUGGGCGCAAGCCUGAUCCAGCCAUGCCGCGUGAGUGAAGAAGGCCUUAGGGUUGUAAAGCUCUUUUACCAGGGACGAUAAUGACGGUACCUGGAGAAUAAGCCCCGGCAAACUUCGUGCCAGCCGCCGCAGUAAAAC
rnacentral:rRNA from 1 species